ACUUUUUUUUUUUUUUUUUUUUUUUUUUUUUUUUUUUUUUUUUUUUUUUUUGCUGUUUGUUCUUCUGAAGAAACGGUCACGA
rnacentral:ribozyme from 1 species